GGAAGGAUCAUUAUGGGUGGCUUUAUGUCCCCGAAAAAGAUAGAACCUAUGUCUACCGUACCUUCGUUUCCUCGGCAGGCUCGCCUGCCAAUGGGGACAUUACCAAAACCUCCUGUAAUAGAAGUGAACGUUUGCAAACAAAUAAUCAAAACUUUCAACAACGGAUCUCUUGGUUCUGGCAUCGAUGAAGAACGCAGCGAAAUGCGAUAAGUAGUGUGAAUUGCAGAAUUCAGUGAAUCAUCGAAUCUUUGAACGCACAUUGCGCCCUUUGGUAUUCCUUAGGGCAUGCCUGUUCGAGCGUCAUUUUAAACCUCAAGCAAAGCUUGGUGUUGGGCGUCUGUCCCCCCCCUUUGUGGGGGACUCGUCUUGAAGUCAUUGGCGGCCGUAUCUUGAAGCUAUUGAAUCGCAGUACAACUGUUGCGUUCGGGCUUCGGAGUGUGGUGUCCAGCAAGCACAAUCCAAAGAAUUGACCUCGGAUCAGGUAGGGAUACCCGCUGAACUUAAGCAUAUCAAUAAGCGGAGGAAAAGAAACCAACAGGGAUUGCCCUAGUAACGGCGAGUGAAGCGGCAACAGCUCAAAUUUGAAAUCUGGCUCCUUUGGAGUCCGAGUUGUAAUUUGUAGAGGGCGCUUUGGCAAAGGCUAUGGCCUAAGUUCCUUGGAACAGGACGUCACAGAGGGUGAGAACCCCGUACGUGGUCGCUAGUCUGAGCCGUGUAAAGCCCCUUCGACGAGUCGAGUUGUUUGGGAAUGCAGCUCUAAAUGGGAGGUAAAUUUCUUCUAAAGCUAAAUAUUGGCCAGAGACCGAUAGCGCACAAGUAGAGUGAUCGAAAGAUGAAAAGCACUUUGGAAAGAGAGUCAAAAAGCACGUGAAAUUGUUGAAAGGGAAGCGCUUGCAGUCAGAUCUGUGGUAAGUGUAUGGUAGGGCUUUUGCCCUGCCUUCCUCUCACCACGGGCCAGCAUCAGUUUAGGCGGCUGGAUAAAGAUCAGGGGAAUGUAGCUCUCUUCGGGGAGUGUUAUAGCCCUUGGUGUCAUGCAGCCAGCUUGGACUGAGGUUCGCGCAUCUGCUAGGAUGCUGGCAUAAUGGCUGUAAGCGGCCCGUCUUGAAACACGGACCAAGGAGUCUAACAUCUAUGCGAGUGUUUGGGUGUCAAGCCCGGGCGCGUAAUGAAAGUGAACGGAGGUGGGAACCCUCCGGGGUGCACCAUCGACCGAUCCUGAUGUCUUCGGAUGGAUUUGAGUAAGAGCAUAGCUGUUGGGACCCGAAAGAUGGUGAACUAUGCCUGAAUAGGGUGAAGCCAGAGGAAACUCUGGUGGAGGCUCGCAGCGGUUCUGACGUGCAAAUCGAUCGUCAAAUUUGGGCAUAGGGGCGAAAGACUAAUCGAACUAUCUAGUAGCUGGUUCCUGC
rnacentral:misc_RNA from 1 species